GAUGAACGCUGGCGGCGUGCCUAAUACAUGCAAGUCGAGCGAACAGAUAAGGAGCUUGCUCCUUUGACGUUAGCGGCGGACGGGUGAGUAACACGUGGGUAACCUACCUAUAAGACUGGGAUAACUUCGGGAAACCGGAGCUAAUACCGGAUAACAUUUGGAACCGCAUGGUUCUAAAGUGAAAGAUGGUUUUGCUAUCACUUAUAGAUGGACCCGCGCCGUAUUAGCUAGUUGGUAGGGUAACGGCUUACCAAGGCGACGAUACGUAGCCGACCUGAGAGGGGGAUCGGCCACACUGGAACUGAGACACGGUCCAGACUCCUACGGGAGGCAGCAGUAGGGAAUCUGCCGCAAUGGGCGAAAGCCUGACGGAGCAACGCCGCGUGAGUGAUGAAGGGUUUCGGCUCGUAAAACUCUGUUAUUAGGGAAGAACAAAUGUGUAAGUAACUGUGCACGUCUUGACGGUACCUAAUCAGAAAGCCACGGCUAACUACGUG
rnacentral:rRNA from 1 species